GCGGAUGUGGCGAAAUUGGCAGACGCGCAAGAUUCAGGUUCUUGUGGGGUCACACCCAUGGAGGUUCGAUUCCUCUCAUCCGCA
rnacentral:tRNA from 1 species